rnacentral:piRNA from 1 species
UUUCAAAAAAAAUUAAAAGAUGGACUGGAG